rnacentral:tRNA from 2 species
GGGGUCAUAGCUCAGAUGGGAGAGCGCUACGAUGGCAUUGUAGAGGUCCGGGGUUCGAUUCCCCGUGGCUCCACCA